UACGGAGGGAGCUAGCGUUGUUCGGAUAUACUGGGCGUAAAGCGCACGUAGGCGGUCUGUCGCGUCUGCUGUGAAAACUCGGGGCUUAACCCCGGGCCUGCAGUGGGUACGGGCAGACUAGAGUGCGGUAGGGGAGACUGGAAUUCCUGGUGUAGCGGUGAAAUGCGCAGAUAUCAGGAAGAACACCAAUGGCGAAAGCAGCUCUCUGGGACGGUACUGACGCUGAGACGCGAAAGCGUGGGGAGCGAACAGG
rnacentral:rRNA from 1 species